AGUGAACGCUGGCGGUAGGCCUAACACAUGCAAGUCGAACGGCAGCACAGUAAGAGCUUGCUCUUACGGGUGGCGAGUGGCGGACGGGUGAGGAAUACAUCGGAAUCUACUUUUUCGUGGGGGAUAACGUAGGGAAACUUACGCUAAUACCGCAUACGACCUACGGGUGAAAGCAGGGGAUCUUCGGACCUUGCGCGAUUGAAUGAGCCGAUGUCGGAUUAGCUAGUUGGCGGGGUAAAGGCCCACCAAGGCGACGAUCCGUAGCUGGUCUGAGAGGAUGAUCAGCGACACUGGAGCUGGGACACGGUCCAGGCUCCUACGGGAGGCAGCAGUGGGGAAUAGUGGACAAUGGGCGCAAGCCUGAUCCAGCGAUACCGCGUGGGUGAAGAAGGCCUUCGGGUUGUAAAGCCCUUUUGUUGGGAAAGAAAAGCAGCAGGUUAAUACCCCGCUGUUCUGACGGUACCCAAAGAAUAAGCACCGGCUAACUUCGUG
rnacentral:rRNA from 1 species